rnacentral:lncRNA from 1 species
GAGGAUGUUGAGUUGAGGGCUGUGAAGAUUCAAGUCAGCUCCUGACCUUAUGUCAGUAUUAAGAAGGGCAGCAUUGAUCUUGGUGAACACGACGAGCAGUCCAGGAAAGGAGUACAAAGAAUAACGGCAAGCACUGGUCCUAUGUGGAGGGUGUGAAAAUGGUGUCAGGUGAAGAGGUAUCACCUCCAACAGGACCAUCAAGUUAGACAUCUUUUAAGGGAUAAGAGGUCCAGAGGUUAAGCCCUGAUGGUGGGUCACUGAGACACUGUGGAGGGAAAUGGAUAAGCCAGGAGUGUUGUGAAGAUGUAAUAAGGGCUGCACAUGUCAUAAUGGGAUCUAAACAAAUAGGAGGUGUACAGGGCUUGUGGGGAGUUGGCUGCCCAGAAAUCUGAGAGAAAAUAAGACAUGUAAAGUCCUGCUCACCCAUGAAAGUUUCUAAAUACAGGAGCUCUGAUUCUAAAAUCAUCUCCAUUUAUAUUGGUUUAUCUUUUUAAGACACUUUGUUGUUUCAGAGCUACCUUGCCAUGAAGAUUCAUUACCUUUUCUUUGCUCUUUUCUUCCUUGGCCAGCUGUCUACCUCAGGAACUGAAGAUGCUUAUGAAGUCAUUAGUAUCAUGGACUGUAAAAAUCAAACACUGUGUAAUUCUCAGAAUACAACUAGACACUGCUCUCAUGGGAAGGAGAUUGAACUAUGUGUCUUGCGUCUUGGAAAAAAUGCAAAGCGACUCACUAACCAUGAAGAAACAGCAAAUUAGGAAGACAGGAUGAUCAAUUUCCUUGUCUUAUUAAAAAAUAAAGUCUGCUUUCUUUUCUCUCUCCUUUUAUUCUCUAGUGACACAUUUAUUUAUUGACAGUUUGGACAAAAGUUUAUCAAGGAACUUUUCACGCUUAGGAUGAAUUACAACAAGAACCAACAUUUCUUUAGUUCCAGCAGCAUUAUUCUCUUGGAUUCACCUUUGCAAAGAAUUGAACAAAAUAGAAGCCAAAGAAGUAGACAGAAA